UCCGCGCUGUCCCUGUGACUGUGGUCAUUAGGCAGGCAGGAGCCAUGUUAAGCUGCACGGUAACUCCAAGUAAGCGCAGGCGCAAUAACGGAGACAGCAACAGUAUUCAUAAUAAGGUAACGUUACUUACUUUAUGAAGAAACUUGCCCCUUCGUCCGUAAAACCUUCCUCCCAUCCCCGAGGUAGGUCUGAAAUACCAAACCGACAGACUUAGUUCGUGACACUUGAAAGUUUUCUCCCCUUCGGGCCCCAACAUAAACACUGAACUUAGCGGCGAACACAAAUAACAGAGUAAAGUAAACACGAGCACACAGGUGAAACAGCCGCGCGGAACUAGCUUGGCUAAAGUUAGCUACCUGAGCGGAUCAUGUGUCCGGAGUUGACGGGUUCACCGGUGCGGGGAUGGAGCCAGGUAGUGGUGCGCACCUCAUCGCUGCAGCACAGACACAGAGAGGAGAAAAAAAAACACCUGUUACACCGACGGGAAGGGGAAACACCAGCAGACUCCGCCAACCCUCGUUAAAACGAGAGAGACGGCGCGUUAAAGCGCUCAUUAUCCCACUCACUUGAUGAAGAAGACCCUGCCGUCCCUGCAGACACCGUAGGACCAGUGCUCAGGACAGCUCAGCCAUGAAAAGGGAGAGAGAGCUGGAAGACAUGCAGGAAAACCGUCACAGGUCGGACUCAAACCCUAGACCUUCUGCAUCGAAGAAUAAACCUCUGUAUAUGUGUGCCUACUCUACCACCUGAGCUAACUGGCCACGUGAUUCUGGAUUUUUGAGGCCAAUAAUGAUAAAAUAUUGACUACUGACUAUGUUUUUUCUACCUAAAUACCUCUUAAAAUAAACAAUGAUAUUUAUUUAAGUAAAAUAAGCCUCAAAAGUAUAGAUGCAGACUAUGAAUAUAAAGAUGCAGACUAUGUAACACUUUUCUAGUCAAUUAUUUCCCAAUACCUUUCUAAAACGUUUCUAAUUCUAUACUAAUUAUUGACAAAGUUAUUUUAGGAUUUAGUUACUUGACUUUAUAAGCAGUUUUUUUGUUUAUUCAUGGUUCAUUUAUUAUUGGAAACCUUUUUCUCCAAAUACUGUAUGUUUUAUUGUACACCGGCCUGUAUACAAAUGACCUGUUGACCUGCUGUACACUGACUAUAAACAUUUCAUUAGAUAAUUAA